UGCUUUUUAUAAUGGUGGUGCAUGUGCUGUGCAUGUGCUGUGCUCUGAGUGAACCUACUCUGAGUUAAUUGAACCAACUCGAAUCAGCUGUUCUGGAACCGAAAACUCUGAAUUUCCCAUCUCAGGGUAAAUCAACUCAGAGUUCAGGGUUAGAUUCAGAGUUUGUUUAACCACCUUCCUGAAACGGGCCCCUGGCUCUGUAAAUGGAAAAUAAACAGAAAGGAGUGCAUGAGCCACAAAACAAGUCAUCUAAGUCAAGUCAUCUGUAGUCAUCUAACUGUGAUUCUGAAGCGAGCAUAUAAAGGGUUUGAGCGGGCUUCAGUUCACCAGUCAUGGACAGAAGUGUGCUGCUGGUCCUGUGGUGUCUGCAGGCUUUCCUGCUCAUCGCAUCGUUCACUUCUACUGAUGCAGCCGCUCUUGUGAGAGAUGAUCAUCAACAACAGUCUAUUGAUUUGGUGGCAAGAGAGGAAAAAAAACCAGGAUCAAAGAAGCGGAAAAAGCAAUGUGGCUGGUACCAUGGAGGAUGUGGCUUCCCGGUCCAGUAGUGUUUUGGUGGUAUACUGGUACAAUAUGCUGGCGCCAUGUUUCCACUUGAAUACAAACUGGGAGACCUGAGCGUUCCACUCCAAUCAACCCAACUCCAGAUAUCAUCUGCACAAAUGAUGUCACCUAUUUUCAAUGUAAUUUUCGAAGACAAAAAGUGGUUACGGGAGAAAUAAAUUUGUAUUGUAGUGCUUGUGAA